UACGUAGGUGGCAAGCGUUGUCCGGAAUUACUGGGUGUAAAGCGCGUGUAGGCGGGAGGCCAAGUCUGUGGUGAAAUCGCCUGGCUUAACUGGGCGGGGUCCAUGGAAACUGGUCACCUGGAGGUCGGUAGAGGCAAGUGGAAUUCCCGGUGUAGUGGUGAAAUGCGUAGAGAUCGGGAGGAACACCAGUGGCGAAGGCGGCUUGCUGGGCCGGACCUGACGCUGAGACGCGAAGGCGUGGGGAGCGAACGGG
rnacentral:rRNA from 1 species